rnacentral:rRNA from 1 species
AACGAACGCUGGCGGCGCGCCUAAUACAUGCAAGUCGAGCGAGAAGACGUAGCAAUACGUUUGUAAAGCGGCGAACGGGUGAGGAAUACAUGGGUAACCUACCCUCGAGUGGGGAAUAACUAGCCGAAAGGUUAGCUAAUACCGCGUACGCUCCUUGGACUUCGGUUCAGGGAGGAAAGCGAUACCGUGGGUAUCGCGCUCUUGGAUGGGCUCAUGUCCUAUCAGCUUGUUGGGAGGUAACGGCUCACCAAGGCUUCGACGGGUAGCUGGUCUGAGAGGACGAUCAGCCACACUGGCACUGCGACACGGGCCAGACUCCUACGGGAGGCAGCAGUAAGGAAUAUUGCGCAAUGGGCAAAGCCUGACGCAGCGACGCCGCGUGGGGGA